GUGAGUAUAGUAUAGCGGUAGUAUUUCUGAUUUCCACUCAGACGGGGCCGGUUCAAAUCCGGCUACUCAC
rnacentral:tRNA from 1 species